UACGAAGGGGGCUAGCGUUGUUCGGAAUCACUGGGCGUAAAGCGCACGUAGGCGGAUCUUUAAGUCAGGGGUGAAAUCCCGAGGCUCAACCUCGGAACUGCCUUUGAUACUGGGGAUCUCGAGUCCGGGAGAGGUGAGUGGAACUGCGAGUGUAGAGGUGAAAUUCGUAGAUAUUCGCAAGAACACCAGUGGCGAAGGCGGCUCACUGGCCCGAUACUGACGCUGAGGCACGAAAGCGUGGGGAGCAAACAGGAUUAGAACCGGACCUAC
rnacentral:rRNA from 1 species